GAUGAAGAACGUAGCGAAAUGCGAUACUUGGUGUGAAUUGCAGAAUCCCGUGAACCAUCGAGUCUUUGAACGCAAGUUGCGCCCGAAGCCAUUAGGCCGAGGGCACGCCUGCCUGGGCGUCACACGUCGUUGCCCCCCCAUCUACUCCUUCGGGAUUGCGGGGGGCGGAUGAUGGCCUCUCGUGCGCCUCGUCGCGCGGUUGGCCUAAAUGCCAAGUCCUCGGCGACGCACGCCACGACAAUCGGUGGUUGCGAAACCUCGGUUGCCUGUCGUGUGCGGUCGUCGCGCAUCGAGGGCUCGAAAAAAUUGCCGGGCUUCGGCUCGACUUUCAACGCGACCCCAGGUCAGGCGGGGUUACCCGCUGAAUUUAAGCAUAUCAAUAAGCGGAGA
rnacentral:misc_RNA from 1 species